CCUACGGGAGGCAGCAGUGAGGAAUAUUGGUCAAUGGGCGCGAGCCUGAACCAGCCAAGUAGCGUGAAGGAUGACUGCCCUACGGGUUGUAAACUUCUUUUAUAAAGGAAUAAAGUGAGGCACGUGUGCCUUUUUGUAUGUACUUUAUGAAUAAGGAGCGGCUAACUCCGUGCCAGCAGCCGCGGUAAUACGGAGGUUCCGAGCGUUAUCCGGAUUUAUUGGGUUUAAAGGGAGCGUAGAUGGGUUGUUAAGUCAGUUGUGAAAGUUUGCGGCUCAACCGUAAAAUUGCAAUUGAUACUGGCAGUCUUGAGUACAGUUGAGGUAGGCGGAAUUCGUGGUGUAGCGGUGAAAUGCUUAGAUAUCACGCAGAACCCCGGUGGCGAAGGCAGCAUGCCGGCUUCCGACUGACGCUGAAGCACGAAAGCGUGGGGAGCGAACAGGAUUAGAUACCCCUGUAGUC
rnacentral:rRNA from 1 species